UGGGAUGCAGCUCAGUUGGUAGAGUACUUGCCUUGUUUGCACAAGGCCCUGGUUUCAAUCCCCAGCAUCACAA
rnacentral:tRNA from 1 species